rnacentral:rRNA from 1 species
UGGGCAAUCUGCCCUGCACUCUGGGACAAGCCCUGGAAACGGGGUCUAAUACCGGAUACUGAUCCUCGCAGGCAUCUGCGAGGUUCGAAAGCUCCGGCGGUGCAGGAUGAGCCCGCGGCCUAUCAGCUAGUUGGUGAGGUAACGGCUCACCAAGGCGACGACGGGUAGCCGGCCUGAGAGGGCGACCGGCCACACUGGGACUGAGACACGGCCCAGACUCCUACGGGAGGCAGCAGUGGGGAAUAUUGCACAAUGGGCGAAAGCCUGAUGCAGCGACGCCGCGUGAGGGAUGACGGCCUUCGGGUUGUAAACCUCUUUCAGCAGGGAAGAAGCGAAAGUGACGGUACCUGCAGAAGAAGCGCCGGCUAACUACGUGCCAGCAGCCGCGGUAAUACGUAGGGCGCAAGCGUUGUCCGGAAUUAUUGGGCGUAAAGAGCUCGUAGGCGGCUUGUCACGUCGGUUGUGAAAGCCCGGGGCUUAACCCCGGGUCUGCAGUCGAUACGGGCAGGCUAGAGUUCGGUAGGGGAGAUCGGAAUUCCUGGUGUAGCGGUGAAAUGCGCAGAUAUCAGGAGGAACACCGGUGGCGAAGGCGGAUCUCUGGGCCGAUACUGACGCUGAGGAGCGAAAGCGUGGGGAGCGAACAGGAUUAGAUACCCUGGUAGUCCACGCCGUAAACGGUGGGCACUAGGUGUGGGCAACA